rnacentral:sRNA from 1 species
AGAGAGAGAAGCUGGGAGCGGAGGCGCAGGCAAUGCUCAGCCCUGGAUGUAGCUGAGAGGCUGGGAGAGAGACGACCGCUGGAGACCGAGCGGCGUGGGGAAGACCUAGGGGGGUGGGUGGGGGAAGCAGACAGGAGAACACUCGAAAUCAAGCGCUUUACAGAUUAUUUUAUUUUGUAUAGAGAACACGUAGCGACUCCGAAGAUCAGCCCCAAUGAACAUGUCAGUGUUGACUUUACAAGAAUAUGAAUUCGAAAAGCAGUUCAACGAGAAUGAAGCCAUCCAAUGGAUGCAGGAAAACUGGAAGAAAUCUUUCCUGUUUUCUGCUCUGUAUGCUGCCUUUAUAUUCGGUGGUCGGCACCUAAUGAAUAAACGAGCAAAGUUUGAACUGAGGAAGCCAUUAGUGCUCUGGUCUCUGACCCUUGCAGUCUUCAGGUGCUAUAACAACUUGAAACAGCUGACAUUAUAUUCGGUGCUCUUCGAACUGGUGCUUAUAUGGUGUACAUUUUGAUGACCAAAGGCCUGAAGCAGUCAGUUUGUGACCAGGGUUUUUACAAUGGACCUGUCAGCAAAU